UUGCCUACUACAAGGAGGGUGCCACUGACCCAACAUUUAUCUACUUUGCGCAUGGUUUGAGGGAGGUCAAGUGCUAAGUAUUGGCACAGCUGGCUUCAAGCAGAAUGCUUGUUGUAAUCCUAGUCUAUAUUGUUGCUUUUUUUUUUUUCUUCUCUAAAUUGGGGAAUCAGGAGUCUAUUUUUGCUUGUUUUCUUUAGAAUGUUUUGCAUUUGGUGACUUGAGGCUUUAUGCCACCUUCUAUCUCGGUUUUUAAUGGUAUUUUCGAAUUUCGACUUGGAUUUCUAAUUUAUUUGGCUCUAUGUUUUGAUUGAGAAAUAAGAAUAAUAUUGUAUUCUAGAUUUUAG
rnacentral:lncRNA from 1 species